UACGUAGGUGGCAAGCGUUGUCCGGAAUUAUUGGGCGUAAAGCGCGCGCAGGCGGCCUUUUAAGUCUGAUGUGAAAGCCCACGGCUCAACCGUGGAAGGUCAUUGGAAACUGAAAGGCUUGAGUACAGAAGAGGAAAGCGGAAUUCCACGUGUAGCGGUGAAAUGCGUAGAGAUUUGGAGGAACACCAGUGGCGAAGGCGACUGUCUGGUCUGUAACUGACACUGAGGCGCGAAAGCGUGGGGAGCAAACAGG
rnacentral:rRNA from 1 species